rnacentral:rRNA from 1 species
ACGGCUCAGUAACACGUGGACAACUUACCCAAAAGUCCGGGAUAACCCCGGGAAACUGGGGAUAAUACCGGAUAGAUCAUCUGUGCUGGAAGGCUGGGUGGUUGAAACUUCCGGGGCUUUUGGAUGGGUCUGCGGCUGAUUAGGUUGUUGCCGGUGUAACGUACCGUCAAGCCUGUAAUCAGUACGGGUUGUGGGAGCAAGAGCCCGGAGAUGGAUUCUGAGACACGAAUCCAGGCCCUACGGGGCGCAGCAGGCGCGAAAACUCUACAAUGCAGGCAACUGCGAUAGGGGAACAUCGAGUGAUCCUCAUAUUGGGGGUCUGUCCACCCGUCUAAAAAACGGGUGUUAGCAAGGGCCGGGCAAGACCGGUGCCAGCCGCCGCGGUAAUACCGGCGGCUCGAGUGGUGGCCGAUAUUAUUGAGUCUAAAGGGUCCGUAGCCGGCUUUGCAAGUCUCUCGGGAAAUCCAGCGGCUUAACCGUUGGUCGUCCGGGGGGUACUACAUUGCUUGGGACUGGGAGAGGUAGGAGGUACUCAGGGGGUAGGAGUGAAAUCCUGUAAUCCUUUGGGGACCACCGGUGGCGAAGGCGUCCUACCAGAACAGGUCCGACGGUGAGGGACGAAAGCUAGGGGCACGAACCGGAUUAGAUACCCGGGUAGUCCUAGCCGUAAACGAUGCUCGCUAGGUGUCACAACAGUCGUGAACUAUUGUGGUGCCGUAGGGAAGCCGUGAAGCGAGCCACUUGGGAAGUACGACCGCAAGGUUGAAACUUAAAGGAAUUGGCGGGGGAGCAC